rnacentral:rRNA from 1 species
UACGUAGGGGGCAAGCGUUGUCCGGAAUCAUUGGGCGUAAAGAGCGUGUAGGCGGCCCGAUAAGUCCGCUGUGAAAGUCCAGGGCUCAACCCCGAGCGGUCGUGAGAAACUGGCAGGCUAGAGUGCGGGAGAGGAGAGUGGAAUUCCUGGUGUAGCGGUGAAAUGCGCAGAUAUCAGGAAGAACACCCGUGGCGAAGGCGGCUCUCUGGAACGCAACUGACGCUGAGACGCGAAAGCGUGGGGAGCAAACAGG